rnacentral:rRNA from 1 species
GAGUUUGAUCUUGGCUCAGAUUGAACGCUGGCGGCAUGCCUUACACAUGCAAGCCGAACGGCAGCAUGAUCUAGCUUGCUAGAUUGAUGGCGAGUGGCGAACGGGUGAGUAAUACAUCGGAACGUGCCCUGUAGUGGGGAUAACUAGUCGAAAGAUUAGCUAAUACCGCAUACGACCUGAGGGUGAAAGUGGGGGACCGCAAGGCCUCAUGCUAUAGGAGCGGCCGAUGUCUGAUUAGCUAGUUGGUGGGGUAAAGGCCCACCAAGGCGACGAUCAGUAGCUGGUCUGAGAGGACGAUCAGCCACACUGGGACUGAGACACGGCCCAGACUCCUACGGGAGGCAGCAGUGGGGAAUUUGGACAAUGGGCGAAAGCCUGAUCCAGCAAUGCCGCGUGUGUGAAGAAGGCCUCGG